AGAAUCAACGCUGGCGGCGUGCCUAACACAUGCAAGUCGCACGAGAAAGGGACUUCGGUCCUGAGUACAGUGGCGCACGAGUGAGUAACACGUGAAUCAUCUACCUCCGAGUGGGGAAUAACUGAGAGAAAUCUUAGCUAAUACCGCAUAACACUUACGAGUCAAAGCAGCAAUGCGCUUGGAGAGGAGUUCGCGGCAGAUUAGUUAGUUGGCGGGGUAACGGCCCACCAAGACGAUGAUCUGUA
rnacentral:rRNA from 1 species